UCGGGAAUCUUGGACAAUGGGGGAAACCCUGAUCCAGCAACGCCGCGUGGGGGAUGAAGGUCUUCGGAUCGUAAACCCCUGUCGAAUGGGACGAAAGACUCGCGAGUGAAUACUUCGCGAGAGUGAUGGUACCGUUAAAGGAAGCCACGGCUAACUCUGUGCCAGCAGCCGCGGUAAUACGUAGGGUGCAAGCGUUAAUCGGAAUUACUGGGCGUAAAGCGUGCGCAGGCGGUUAUAUAAGACAGAUGUGAAAUCCCUGGGCUCAACCUAGGAACUGCAUCUGUGACUGUAUAGCUAGAGUACGGUAGAGGGGGAUGGAAUUCCGCGUGUAGCAGUGAAAUGCGCAGAUAUGCGGAGGAACACCGAUGGCGAAGGCAAUCCCCUGGACCUGUACUGACGCUCAUGCACGAAAGCGUGGGGAGCAAACAGGAUUAGAUACCCACGUAGUCCCUGAGCGGGCUGGCAAGGCGCAU
rnacentral:rRNA from 1 species